rnacentral:pre_miRNA from 14 species
UCUUCGGAGAUGAGGGUGGUCACUGAUCCCAGAUGAGCCCCCAAAUGAAAGACCCCCAGAGCGGGGAGACCCUCACUCAAGUCUCGGGAUGACACAACCCCCCAAGAACUCACACAAGACC